UCCUUCCUACGGGACGCAGCAGUAGGGAAUCUUCCACAAUGGACGAAAGUCUGAUGGAGCAACGCCGCGUGAGUGAAGAAGGGUUUCGGCUCGGAAAGCUCUGUUGGUAGUGAAGAAAGAUAGAGGUAGUAACUGGCCUUUAUUUGACGGUAAUUACUUAGAAAGUCACGGCUAACUACGUGCCAGCAGCCGCGGUAAUACGUAGGUGGCAAGUGUUAUCCGGAUUUACUUGGUGUAAAGGGGGCG
rnacentral:rRNA from 1 species